GGAUCAGAAUUGGAAACUCUUAAGGUUCACAAGUCUUUCAUGCUAAUUCUCUUACCUGAUUGUGCCUUAAGCAAUUCAUCAACAUCAUGCAAUGGAGUUUCUUAUUGCAGAUCGAAAAAGAGAAACUUCAACAGCACAAACAAGUUUAUCUGUUCUAUGCUACCUGAAUCACCUUCCCUAUUAAUUUCAUACUCUCCAGGUAAUCAAAUUAAUUAAUAAACCGAGGGCUUAUGUUCAAGCCAUGAGGGAGUAACUUGCAGCAUGCAAGGGCUUAUGUUUAAGAUUUGUUGGCCAUGAAUUAAUUGAAUUCCUAAUGUUAAGAUAUGCUCAAUUCAAUCCCGAGAAUCCCAAAGAGGACACUGGUGAUUUUAGAAUUGCAUCUUCAGCUACUAAGACGCUCCUUUUUCUUUCCUCGCUUCAUUUCUGAAAUUCAUUUAGUUAUCCUAGCAAUAUUUUGCACUAGAAAGUAAAGUGUUAGUAGUUAGUAACUAGAGCGAGAGAAGCAAGACUUGGAUAUGAUGUGACAUGUUACGACUAUUGUGAUAAUGAUAUUGUCAUGCCUGUUCUGUUUCUGUUUUUGUUUGUGUUUGUAAACUUAACUAGUUAACUAACUAGUUUUGAGUUUUUGCUAUGGAGACAGCAAUGACAUGAAUAAUGUUCAGCUGAAUGAUGAUGUUCUUGGCCUGAUUGUGUUCAAAUCAGACCUCUAUGACCCUUCUUCAUCUCUUGCUUCAUAGAAA